rnacentral:rRNA from 1 species
GACGAACGCUGGCGGCGUGCUUAACACAUGCAAGUCGAACGGAAAGGCCCUGCUUUUGUGGGGUGCUCGAGUGGCGAACGGGUGAGUAACACGUGAGUAACCUGCCCUUGACUUUGGGAUAACUUCAGGAAACUGGGGCUAAUACCGGAUAGGAGCUCCUGCUGCAUGGUGGGGGUUGGAAAGUUUCGGCGGUUGGGGAUGGACUCGCGGCUUAUCAGCUUGUUGGUGGGGUAGAGGCUUACCAAGGCUUUGACGGGUAGCCGGCCUGAGAGGGUGACCGGCCACACUGGGACUGAGACACGGCCCAGACUCCUACGGGAGGCAGCAGUGGGGAAUUUUGGGCAAGGGGCGCAAGCCUGACGCAGCAACGCCGCGUGCGGGAAGAAGGCCUUCGGGUCGUAAACCGCUGUUGUCAGGGAAGAAAAAGUGUUGGCGAAUACCUGCGAGUCAUGACGGUACCUGAAGAAUAAGCACCGGCUAACUACGUG